rnacentral:rRNA from 1 species
UACGAAGGGGGCUAGCGUUGCUCGGAAUGACUGGGCGUAAAGGGCGCGUAGGCGGUUUGGACAGUCAGAUGUGAAAUUCCUGGGCUCAACCUGGGGGCUGCAUUUGAUACGUUCGGACUAGAGUGGGGAAGAGGGUCGUGGAAUCCCCAGUGUAGAGGUGAAAUUCGUAGAUAUUGGGAAGAACACCGGUGGCGAAGGCGGCGACCUGGUCCUUGACUGACGCUGAGGCGCGAAAGCGUGGGGAGCAAACAGG